rnacentral:rRNA from 1 species
CGGUGGAGUGAUUUGUCUGGUUGAUUCCGUUAACGAACGAGACCUUAGCCUGCUAACUAGUCGCGGCGAUCUCGAUCGUCGUCGACUUCUUAGAGGGACUUUGUGGCACUAAACACAAGGAAGUUUGAGGCAAUAACA